rnacentral:snRNA from 1 species
AGCUUUGCGCAGUGGCAGUAUCGUAGCCAAUGAGGUUUAUCCGAGGUGCGAUUAUUGCUAAUUGAAAGAUAGUUACCAUACUCAAACACUUUUCUAAGGAUUUCACACAAAUUAUCCCAAUGA